GACGAACGCUGGCGGCGCGCUUAACACAUGCAAGUCGAACGGAAAGGCCUGCUUUCCCUUGUGGAUUGCGGGUACUCGAGUGGCGAACGGUUGAGUAACACGUGAGUGAUCUGCCCCCAACUUGGGUAUAAGCCUGGGAAACUGGGUCUAAUUCCCGAUAGGACUGCAGGGUGGUGCCUGUGGUGGAAAACGAUUUUCUAGUGGUUGGGGAUGAGCUCGCGGCCUAUCAGCUUGUUGGUGGGGUAAUGGCCUACCAAGGCGGCGACGGGUAGCCGGCCUGAGAGGGUGGACGGCGACAUUGGGACUGAGAUACGGCCCAGACUCCUACGGGAGGCAGCAGUGGGGAAUAUUAGACAAUGGGCGGAAGCCUGAUGCAGCGACGCCGCGUGGGGGAUGACGGCCUUCGGGUGGUAAACUCCUUUCGACCGCGAGGAAGCCACCUGGUUGGAAGGGUGGUGACGGUAGUGGUAGAAGAAGCACCGGCUAACUACGUG
rnacentral:rRNA from 1 species